GAGGAUCCCAGGACCCAGAAUCACAACCAGACCUGAAGGCAGACACUCAACAGACUGAGCCAUCCAGGUGCUGCCCCAAGCACCUUGUUUUAAUAGCAGGAAACCGACGCCCAGCCCUUCCUGCCACCUCUGCGCAGACCCGGGAAGAGGUAAAGCCCGGAUCCCCCUUAGCAUGAGGUGGGGCGCCACGUAGGAACUGGCCUUGACCAUGAUAUUCCUGAUUCUGCGGCUGGCCGCACCACGUUUUCUCCAACACCGCCAGGUGAUCGGUCCGCAGCGGGGAGAGCAGCUAAUUCGAGAGCCCUGAGUAGAACUUAAAGUUCUUGCCACCGUCAAGAGAGCUCUCCUGCUCAAUGACCUGGCCCCUGCCUGCUUCUCCCACCUUAAACACCUAUCAGAAUGGCAGUGAUUGGUGAUUCAUUCCGUGGCUCCAAAUUAAAUAUGAACAAAAUGCACACAAUAGCUCUGCUCCUCUGUGCACUGAGGCGCUUAGCAAACCCACUUCCUGGCCAGGGAGACCCUGACGCACCAGCACAGGGGGGCUCGGACAGAUCCUCUGCCUGCGGUGGAGACAGCUUUGUCAAGAGCUCUGCCCUGGGAGGGCCUGUGGAGCUGAUGAAGAAUGACAUUUCUGUCCUUUCAUCCAUUAAAAAACAGGGGGCUACGGGCAACAUGGUAGCCUGCACUGGACCCUGGAAAGAAGGACGUUGGUGGAAACACUGGCGAAACCCAAAUCAAUCUAGCAUUUAGUUCAUGGUGCGGUAGUCGCCCCUUCUCUGUGGUUUGGCUUUCCAUGUUUCCGUGACUGGAGGUCAGCCGUGUCCUGAGCAGACGAUCCUCUUCCUGCCACAUCAUCAGUAGGUCAGCAGUAGCCUGAUGUCAUAUCCCCGUGCCUGUGUCCCCCACCCUACGUCCUCCCCUCACGUGGCCACGAUAUUCUCUCACCUUAUCAAAGAAGAAAUGUGAGUGCAGCACAAUAUUUUGAGAGAGAGACAGACCACAUUUCACAUAACUUUUUAAAAAAUUGUUUUUAUUUA